UUAGACUGAAAAUGAUCUCAGAUGUAACAGUGAUCUGUGGUCAGAUAACUGAGCCUAAAGUACUGUGGUACGUUUAGCUUAUCACCUGCUCACUUGUUGCAGAGUGAUAAAACCCAUGUACCAACAAAA
ensembl:snoRNA